CAAGUCGAACGAGAAAGCUCACUUCGGUGAGUGAGUACAGUGGCAAACGGGUGAGUAACACGUGGGUAACAUGCCUCUAAGAUGGGGACAACAUCGGGAAACUGGUGCUAAUACCGAGUAAUAUUGAACUGGCAUAAGUCAGAUCAAUCAAACGAUGGGGAUCCUUCGGGACCUGUCGCUUAGAGAUUGGCCCGCGCCUGAUUAGCUUGUUGGUGAGGUAAAAGCUCACCAAGGCGAUGAUCAGUAGCCGACUUGAGAGGGUGACCGGCCACACUGGGAUUGAGAUACGGCCCAGACUCCUACGGGAGGCAGCAGUCUAGAAGCUUCGACAAUGGGGGCAACCCUGGUCGAGCGACGCCGCGUGCAGGAUGAAGGUUUUCGGAUCGUAAACUGCUUUCGUUCGGGAAGAAUACUUGUCGGUUAAUACCCGGCAUAGGAGACGGUACCGAGUAAAGAAGCUCCGGCUAAGUCCGUGCCAGCAGCCGCGGUAAUACGGGCGGAGCGAGCGUUGUUCGGAAUUAUUGGGUGUAAAGGGUGCGCAGGCGGUCGAAUAAGUCGAAGGUGAAAUCCCUACGGCUCAACCGAGGAAUUGCCUUCGAUACUAUUCGACUUGAGUGAGGGAGGGGAGCGUAGAAUUCCUGGUGUAGCGGUGAAAUGCGUAGAUAUCAGGAGGAAUACCUGUGGCGAAGGCGACGCUCUGGCCCUUAACUGACGCUCAUGCACGAAAGCCAGGGGAGCGAACGGGAUUAGAUACCCCGGUAGUCCUGGCCGUAAACGUUGGGCACUAGGUGUGGGAGGUAUCGACCCCUUCCGUGCCGUAGCUAACGCAUUAAGUGCCUCACCUGGGGAGUACGACCGCAAGGUUGAAACUCAAAGGAAUUGACGGGGGCCCGCACAAGCGGUGGAGUAUGCGGUUUAAUUCGAGGCAACGCGAAGAACCUUACCCGGGCUUGACAUCACCAUAAGGUACCAUACACGGCAGAGAUGUCGUGGUUAGGUAGACAGGUGUUGCAUGGCUGUCGUCAGCUCGUGUCGUGAGAUGUUGGGUUAAGUCCCGCAACGAGCGCAACCCCUAUCCACUGUUGCCAUCAGACCUUCGGGUGCUGGGAACUCUGUGGAAACUGCCGCCGACAA
rnacentral:rRNA from 1 species